UACGUAGGGGGCAAGCGUUGUCCGGAUUUAUUGGGCGUAAAGAGCGUGUAGGCGGCCUUACAGGUCAGCUGUGAAAACUCGAGGCUCAACCUCGAGACGUCGGUUGAAACCGUAAGGCUAGAGUCCGGAAGAGGAGAGUGGAAUUCCCGGUGUAGCGGUGAAAUGCGUAGAGAUCUGGAAGAACACCAAAGGCGAAGGCAGCGUCCUGGGAAGUGACUGACGCUCAUGUGCGAAAGCUAGGGGAGCGAACGGG
rnacentral:rRNA from 1 species